CACGUAGGCACCAAGCGUUGUCCGGAUUUAUUGGGCGUAAAGAGCUCGUAGGCGGUUCAGUAAGUCGGGUGUGAAAACUCUGGGCUUAACCCAGAGCCGCCACCCGAUACUGCUGUGACUAGAGUCCGGUAGGGGAGUGGGGAAUUCCUAGUGUAGCGGUGAAAUGCGCAGAUAUCAGGAGGAACACCGGUGGCGAAGGCGGAUCUCUGGGCCUUACCUGACGCUCAGGCGCGAAAGCUAGGGGAGCGAACAGG
rnacentral:rRNA from 1 species